GAAGGUCAAACAGAAACCCGGAGAGGAACCAGCUGAUGUGGAUCUGAGGGGACAAAAGGUCCAGCGUGUUCACUCCCUCUGGCCUUUUCUCUCUAUUUAUCCUUUCAUCGCUCUCAAUCUCAUGCGUAUAACCAGACAUUGUUGGAAUAUUUUAAUGAAUUCCUUGUCCCCUCUUCUCUCACCCACCAUCAGCUCUGGGGAGCCUCAGAAGGGCAUGACGCGCCCCAGGGUCAAGGUUGGCAACGAGUUAUUGCAAAGACAUUAUUUAUUGGUUGCCGUUUUUUUCCUUGCAAACAAAGACUGUGCUCGGUUACAAUGCUGGAUCUUGUAACGUCAGGUCAGAACCAGGACCAGUGUGUGCACUCCAUCGGUGCUCCGGUGCACUACGCCGGCACUGUGAGCACAAACAACCUCCCUGGGGACGAGAGCAGUGAUACCAGCAGCCGCUCAGCUGAGGACAAAGACUGGAAACAGGGAAACAAGAAGAUGACUAAACCACUUAUCAGCCUCUUCCGAAUACUCAAUGUACAUGAGGAACAACAAGCACACAAGACAUGCAACUCCCUCACAACAUGCUCACAAUCUCACGGGUGUCCUUUCACUCUGUGCACAACGGGUCAACUGAACAGGGUGAUGAGCACCCUGCGGAGCACUGCUCCCCACGUCGUCCGCCGCAUCGCGCCCAACGACUUCAAGAAGCCAGGUGUGACAGCCGUCUGGUCCUGCAGCAGUUAGCCUGCAACGGCGUGCUGGAGGGCAGCCGCAUCUGCAAGACUCCCCAACAGACCGCAGUACCCGGAAUUUAAACAAAGGUACAAUCAACACGAGCAUCAUCCCUCAAGGAUUCCUCGACAACCAGAAGGCCUCGGAGCUCCUCCUGAGUCAGUCUCAAGGUUCACUGUCAUACUCAACAUGUGAAGUGCAACACAUUGAAAGAGAUCUCUUCUUGAACAAAUACACAUUCAUGGAUUUUACUUCAGUUUUCCUCUUCCCUCCUCUUUUUACGUCUUCCAUCCCCGUCUGCGUUUUCCUCUCCAGGUGUUUUUUUUCUUCCACACAGGCGUCCUGGCAAAGACCACAACCGCGCUGCAGGCUCAGCUGAGAGGAGCUCCAAUGAGGGUCCAGUUCAACAAGGUGGUGGACAGAGGGUCAGCGUGUGCAUGGUCCCGCUCCUCCGCUGAGACAGCUGGGUCAGAGAGAUGGAGUGUGUUUUGGUCAAUUAAAUAUCCAACAGUGUUUCUGCAUUUGUGUGUCUGUGUGUGUGUGUGUGUGUGUGUGUGAGAGUGAUGCAGAAUUGCAUUGAUGGCCAUCCAGUGCAACAUGAGGAAGUUCCUUCAGUUACGCUACUGGGGAUGGUGGAAACUCUACACUAAGCUGAAGCCCCUGCUGAUGGAGACCUUAAAGGCCAAGGAAGAGGAGCAGGAGAAGGUGAAGAGGCUGGACUCUGGAGGACAAGAUCAAAGAUCUGGAGGGGAAGAUGAUCACUCUGUCACAAGAGAAGAACGACUUCAGCACACACGAUUAUACACAUAUAGAUGAUUUUACCACAACACCAAGUUAAUGUCCCUUCUUAUAGAAAGUAUUGUUGUCUAUUGUCAAAUCUUUAUGUACAGGAAAAAAAAAAUACGAGGUUGAAAUACUUCUUCUGGCUCAUAUCAAGCAGCCAGAGACCGCUGCUUCUCUCGCUUGUUUGUUAUUUUUUGGUGUGAAGGCUCACAGGAACCUUUCUCCAGUUUCUGCCUCUCGUGUAUUAACACUACAUGUGAGUCGCGGAGCUUUUCUGAAAAAUAAACACAACCUCUGAAAAGCCUAGAAGCUGGUUUAACAACACUGACUGCUGGUCUGAAGGUAUUUUCAGAAUCCUUAAAAACACUUCUAACUACCUCAAAGGUUAAAAGAGUUUCACUGCAAACAUAUAUACAUAUAACAACUAUUUCAAAAG